AAAAGGCUGCACUCCAGCUUUCCAUUUCAAGUGUAAAACCUGCUGAAGGAAUAACCGAGUGAAUGAAAGCUAAUACCUGGAGAUGUUUCUGCAAUAGAGAGCCACAAAACUGCAAACCUAUUUAACUUCAAAAGCUUUAGUCUGAAGUCUACGGCUAUAAGCUGGUGUGCAUGACAGAAGGUGGGGAGCCAGAAGAGUCUGCAGAAGUUUGAAAUUUCAAAUGGAAAUUAACUUUGACUUUCAAUAUCUGCAUUUUUGUGUGAUGUUAUUUUCACUAAUUUCAUUAUGGUGACCAGGCAUGUUAUGUUGUCUAACUUUGUGUCCUGACAGGUACACUUGCAUUAGUCACCAGACACUGUAAGAUAAAGCAAAUCAGCAGUGCUGGGUCUAGCCUUUUGGACACCCUAGGCAGGAUUUCAUGGAGCCACCACAUUUCUUGUUAAUGUACUGUAAAAAUAGAGGCUAACUAAUAAUAAUUGCUUUUAUGAGUUAUCUAAAUUAUGUAGAUUUCUAACUGGUUAGCUAUUGUCUAUUGUGGCUAAUUAUUGAUGAAUGGGUGCUCAUUUGGGGUUUAAUAAGUUAGCAUUUAAAUUACAGAUAACCUUCUCAGCAUUCUGGAACCAGGGGUCUGUCUGUCAAGCAGUAUUUGCCUACCCAGCUAGCUUUAAGCUUCAUUUCAAUUUCAGUCUAACCCUGGAGGCAGUGGUGACAGCAUUGCUUUUUUACAAUUAUCAGUGCUUUACUUUCUAUGUAUUUAAAGUGAUCUCUUUUCUCUUGUUUGGCAACUGUUUUGACUCCUCAGGUUUCACAUAACUGACUGUUCAUCUCAAACAUUUUCAUGUGCACAAGGAUUAGUCAUAGCCCAGGAUUAAAAGAGAAAGUUAACCGUAUCUGUAAGGUUAUGUCACACUGAAACUGCCUGCCAAAGCUGAACCUGCUUCAUUAGACAGCCCAGAUCCACUACACCUUGCUGUCCAUGUUCAAGGCAAAAUAAAUAGUUAAAACCUCAAAUAAACAAAUAAAUGGACAAAAACAUACCCUUAUCUAAGCUUUUUUCUUCAGUUUUUCUUUUCCAUGUUUUGGCUCCAGAUGCAUACAUUAUUUUUUGUUUGAGACAUGAUUAACUAUUUGUUAAGAAAUAAGGAAUGAAAAUUCUACCUGGUUAGGCUUAUUGCUUGUUUCUUUAUGUUUUAUUAAAUUUUGUAGUAAUUCUUUCUAUGACAGUCAGACUUCUGUAUGCAGCCAGAAAGCUGUUAUUGUCCAAAUAUUAUUCCUCAGGAAUUCUCUAUAGGGCAAGUUACCUAGAUUGUUAGCAAUCUAUGAGUAUAUAUGUGUGUGUCUGUCUGUGAGCCUCCCUGCAAGAUUAUUUGGCAUAUGAGACACAAGAUACCAUGUUUUAAAAAUCCUGCUGCUGACUAAAGACUGGGUGGGACACAGUAACAUUUCGCUGGUGUCAGAACAAAACGUAUCUUAAUUUUUGUUGUUUUUCAUUUUUUUGGAGAAAGCAGAGUUGCUAAUAAACAUUGAGAUGUGCUUAAA